CAACCUGCUUUUUCAACAUAUUAACUCAGCCAGUAGAGUUAAUUUCUGCUUGUUUCUCUAUGGAUCAGAGUGUUAAUUUUCAACUCUGGGUUGUAAUGGCUUUUUCUUUUCAUUUUUGGAUCAUAGUUUUAUUGAUCACAAAGUCAAUUAGUCGGUUAAUUAUUUCUGUACUUUCUUCUUUUCUUUCUUUACCCGAGUAAUGCCUUCUUUGCUGUCAUUUCGUGGCUACGAUCAGGUCAGCCCUGUGUGAUACUUUAAAGGCCUCUGUGCACACAGCUGCUCUGACAAGCUGGGACUCAAACCGACAGCUCACUGGAAAGGCAUUCCUCGUCACACGUCUGAAGAGACCCAGAUUGACAGUUCACAGGUUCCAGUGCAAAGAUGGACUCUCAAUCUUCUUCAGCUGGCGAGGAUCUUGGCUAAUGCGGGGCGUGCAGAUGCCAGACAGCAAAGAGCCUGGAGGAACAAACAGGCCCAGCGAGCUCAUCAUGAGCCAUCAAAGCAGAAAUCUAGACUCGGUCAGAGGCAAAGAGGUGGAAGUGUUGUGGAUGUCUUGAGGCCCUUCACAAUGUGCUGACAUGUAGCCCUUCACAAUGUGUCUGUGGAUCUCCACCGACUCUCACCUGCCUCUGCCACUGCUGAAAUGUCUACAGGUGUGCCUGCGAUUCACGUGCUGCCACAGGCAGAUGGAAGACUUCAACAGAUAUGUCAAAUAGAUGAGGUGGUUGACAUAUGACAUAUCAGUCUGGAUACAGGGUUAGAAGCCAGCUGCUCAGGGAGUCAGAUGAGACCAUGGAUACACUGCAGGCAGGUGCUUCUGAGUUGGAAACAAAUGCUGCCGAGUUGAGGAGAAAGCACAGAUUGAAGACUUGCAAGGUGUGGGUUGUAGGGGUCAGCAUCCUGGUGAUCGCUGUCAUUAUCAUCCUGUGGUGUCUCUCAAUGAAGAAGGAGUGACAGCCAAGCAGGCUGUUCCAGCUUCAAGACUUUUGACUGAAAACUUGCUAUAUUACCAAGCUUACCCACUGCUAUUUCCAAAUGAUUGUUUUGGCUAGUUUACAUACAAUUCAGUGUCUAGGAAAUGUGCCUUUCUUUUUAUGCACACUCCAAACUGGAGGCAUGGCCCACAAGUUUUACAUAUCACCUUCACAGGUUUGUGGAUGGACUGGGAGAGAAGACUUCUGGUGCUCAGGAGCACUGAAAUCUAGACCAGACAUUGCCACAGGUGACUUGUUGGGGACUCCAGGAAGGGUAUUCCAGUGAUCAGUCACCUGAUGUCAUCUUCAGAACCACAUUUAAAGCUUUGGGUAAUUAGAUCCCUAACACAAACCCUUGACAACAGGGAGUGACUUAUCUAGAUACUCCCCUCAUUUUCCUUAAGAGAUUCUUUGUUGUAAGCAUUACAGACUUGGAGUUAAGACUCCUGUAAAAGAGCUUGUGCUGUUACAUUAGAUAAGAGGUUUCUUGCUGUUAUGUACUACUUGCUAACAUAGUAUUUUGACCAGAAAGAGGUUCUUUAAAAUAUUCUUUAUAGAACUAUGACCAAAGUUUCUAUUUUUCCAAAAUACAAUUUGUUAAAUACAA